CCAUUAGCGUAUAUUAAAGUUGUUGCAGUUAAAAAGCUCGUAGUUGAAUUUCGGGGUUAGUAGGUUGGUCAUGCCUCUGGUAUGUACUGGUCUCACUGAUUCCUCCUUCCUGAUGAACCUUAAUGCCAUUAAUUUGGUGUUUUGGGGAAUUUGGACUGUUACUUUGAAAAAAUUAGAGUGUUUAAAGCAAGCUAACGCUUGAAUACAUUAGCAUGGAAUAAUGAAAUAGGACGUUCGAUCCUAUUUUGUUGGUUUCUAGGAUUGACGUAAUGAUUAAUAGGGAUAGUUGGGGGCAUUAGUAUUCAAUUGUCAGAGGUGAAAUUCUUGGAUUUAUUGAAGACUAACUACUGCGAAAGCAUUUGCCAAGGAUGUUUUCAUUAAUCAAGAACGAAAGUUAGGGGAUCGAAGACGAUCAGAUACCGUCGUAGUCUUAACCAUAAACUAUGCCGACUAGGGAUCGGAUGAUGUUAAUUUUUUAAUGACUCAUUCGGCGCCUUACG
rnacentral:rRNA from 1 species